GGCUGUAUAGGCAGUGCCCAGCCCCCCUGCGGAGAGCUCUCUCCCCGGCCCUACCCCAGCGGGGCCCUUUCAGGGGAGGGGGAACCCGCGUUAGCCCCAGAGCCGCGUGGCCGAGCUGCCCCCAGCAGAGGUGCCGGGCUCAGCAGCGGCCACCCAGCGGCCGCUCCCCGAGCUCAAGGCACCGGGCCACCUCCAGGCAGGGGGCGCAGCCGCGAGCUCGGGGCUGCAGCUUUUCUAGGCAGGAGAGCUGCGGCGCACCCGACCCGGCCGCGUUACCUCCCUCCGGCACCGGGCGGGGGGCGCUCGGGAGGGUGAUGCUGCACCUGCCAUGCAACCUGCCUGCGCCGAGAGGCAGUGGGAAGCGCACAGCAGCCGUUCCCCAGGACCCAGCACCGGCGGGGAGGGUGCAGUGCAGUACAAUGCAAGCGCCCCCCCCCCCCGGGCUAGAAGAGGGAACGCAAUGCAGCCCCUCUCCCCAGGCUCAGCAGCCGGGGCCAGAAGGACGAUGCAAUCUCGCCCCACCUGCAGGGGGGAGAGAGGGGAACGCAACACCCCGGCAACCCCCCACCGCGGGGAGCCGGGACCCAGCUGCAACCGCAAUCAAAUCCCGCAGGGAGCGUCCAGCUGCAGCAGAUUGCCUGGGCCAGCCAGCGCCGGAGGGGAGAAGAAUUGUUAUGCACUCUUCUCCUCUGGUAACAGCUCCAGCUGUGAUAAUUCUCUUUAAUUCCAGCCUUAUGCAUCCCACUGGGCAUCCAUUAUGUUACAAAGAGCCCUUGAUCUGCUAAGCAUCAUCAACACACAGGGAGAGAGACGAUCCCUGCCCUACAAAGCUUUCAUCUGAAGAAGACAAGCAACAUGCAAAAGGUGCAAAUGUUUCUAUACUCCCCCUAUCAUCUCCAUCCGUGAGGUUAUCACAGAUUAGAAGGCAAAAAAAAAAGCACUUAUGAUAACAUGUUUUCUGAGAUCAUGCAGUCCUCCCUCACUGAUCGGGCUUAAUGCAUGGAGGCAUUCAGUGGCAGAGGCCAGGAAACACUAAGUGAGCAUGAAGAGCAGAGGCAGGAGGUGAUGCUGAGGCUAAUGUGGGAGCAAACGGACAUGAUGAAGUGUCUGUUGGAGCUGCAGGAAAGCCAACAAGAGCACAGACCCCCCCGCUGCAUCCAUUGUAUAACUGCCUGCCCUCCUCCCCAAGUUCCAUAUCCUCCUCACCCAGAUGCCCAAGAACGCAGGGAGGGGGGAAGGCUCUGGGCACUCAGCCACUCCACUCCAGAGGAUGGCCCAAGCAACAGAAGGCUGUCAUUCAAACAGUUUUGAUUUGUAGUGUGGCUGCAAUAAGGAAUGUGGCCUUGUCCUUCCCUCCUCCCGCACCCCACCGCACCCAGGCUAUCUUGUCAGUUAUCUCACUUUUUUUUU